AUUGAACGCUAGCGGGAUGCCUUACACAUGCAAGUCGAACGGCAGCGCGGACUUCGGUCUGGCGGCGAGUGGCGAACGGGGGAGUAAUGUAUCGGAACGUGCCCAGUAGCGGGGGAUCACUACUCGAAAGAGUAGCUAAUACCGCAUACGCCCUACGGGGGAAAGGGGGGGAUCGCAAGACCUCUCACUACUGGAGCGGCCGAUAUCGGAUUAGCUAGUUGGUGAGGUAAAGGCUCACCAAGGCGACGGUCCGUAGCUGGUUUGAGAGGACGACCAGCCACACUGGGACUGAGACACGGCCCAGACUCCUACGGGAGGCAGCAGUGGGGAAUUUUGGACAAUGGGGGCAACCCUGAUCCAGCCAUUCCGCGUGUGCGAUGAAGGCCUUCGGGUUGUAAAGCACUUUUGGCAGGAAAGAAAUCGCACGGAUUAAUACUCUGUGUGGAUGACGGUACCUGCAGAAUAAGCACCGGCUAACUACGUGCCAGCCGCCGCAGUAA
rnacentral:rRNA from 1 species